rnacentral:tRNA from 1 species
GGCUAUAGCUCAGCUUGGUAGAGCACCUCGUUUACACGUGCGCCAAUGGUUUUCAGGAGAUUUUAUUCGUUCGUCCAAUCCA